GAACGAACGCUGGCGGCAGGCUUAACACAUGCAAGUCGAACGAUGUAGCAAUACAUAGUGGCGCACGGGUGAGUAACGCUGGGAAUAUACAACCAGUGGGGAAUAACUUUGGGAACUAAAGCUAAUACCGCAUACGCCCGAGAGGGGAAAGAUUUAUCGCUGAUUGAUUAGCCCGCGUGAGAUUAGGUAGUUGGUGGGGUAAUGGCCUACCAAGCCUACGAUCUCUAGCUGGUCUGAGAGGAUGAUCAGCCACACUGGAACUGAGACACGGUCCAGACUCCUACGGGAGGCAGCAGUGGGGAAUAUUGGGCAAUGGAGGAAACUCUGAUCCAGCCAUGCCGCGUGCAGGAAGAAGGCCUUCUGGGUUGUAAACUGCUUUUGCCGGGGAUAAAAGAUCCAUGCGUGGAGAAUUGAAGGUACCCGGUGAAUAAGCCACGGCUAACUACGUG
rnacentral:rRNA from 1 species